UGGCGGAGCCAUCCUUGGGAUACCACCCUUGUAGUACUGGGACUCUAACCAUAGGCCAUGAAUCUGGUCUUGGGACACUGUCAGGUGGGCAGUUUGACUGGGGCGGUCGCCUCCCAAAAGGUAACGGAGGCGCUCAAAGGUUCUCUCAGUACGGUCGGAAAUCGUACGUAGAGUGUAAAGGCAAAAGAGAGCUUGAUUGCAAGACAUACAGGUCGAGCAAGGAUGAAAAUCGGACUUAGUGAUCCGGUGGUUCUGCGUGGAAGGGCCAUCGCUCAACGGAUAAAAGCUACCCUGGGGAUAACAGGCUUAUCUCCCCCAAGAGUCCACA
rnacentral:rRNA from 1 species